rnacentral:rRNA from 1 species
GUUGAGCUAACCGGUACUAAUGAACCGUGAGGCUUAACCUUACAACGCCGAAGC